rnacentral:rRNA from 1 species
AUACGUAGGUGGCAAGCGUUGUCCGGAUUUAUUGGGCGUAAAGGGCGCGCAGGCGGUCUCUUAAGUCUGAUGUGAAAUCUUGCGGCUCAACCGCAAGCGGUCAUUGGAAACUGGGAGACUUGAGUGCAGAAGAGGAGAGUGGAAUUCCACGUGUAGCGGUGAAAUGCGUAGAGAUGUGGAGGAACACCAGUGGCGAAGGCGACUCUCUGGUCUGUAACUGACGCUGAGGCGCGAAAGCGUGGGGAGCAAACAGGAUUAGAUACCCUGGUAGUCCACGCCGUAAACGAUGAGUGCUAGGGGUUAGGGGUUUCGAUGCCCUGAGUGCCGAAGUAAACACAUUAAGCACUCCGCCUGGGGAGUACGGCCGCAAGGCUGAA